rnacentral:rRNA from 1 species
UUGAACGCUGGCGGCAGGCCUAACACAUGCAAGUCGAGCGGAUGAGUGGAGCUUGCUCCAUGAUUCAGCGGCGGACGGGUGAGUAAUGCCUAGGAAUCUGCCUGGUAGUGGGGGACAACGUUUCGAAAGGAACGCUAAUACCGCAUACGUCCUACGGGAGAAAGCAGGGGACCUUCGGGCCUUGCGCUAUCAGAUGAGCCUAGGUCGGAUUAGCUAGUAGGUGAGGUAAUGGCUCACCUAGGCGACGAUCCGUAACUGGUCUGAGAGGAUGAUCAGUCACACUGGAACUGAGACACGGUCCAGACUCCUACGGGAGGCAGCAGUGGGGAAUAUUGGACAAUGGGCGAAAGCCUGAUCCAGCCAUGCCGCGUGUGUGAAGAAGGUCUUCGGAUUGUAAAGCACUUUAAGUUGGGAGGAAGGGUAGUAACCUAAUACGUUGCUACUUUGACGUUACCGACAGAAUAAGCACCGGCUAACUUCGUG